UGAUUUUAGGGUAGCAAUAUUCUGAAAUCGGAGUGGCGAAAGGGUGCGUAACACGUGGGUAAUUUGCCGUAAAGUUGGGAAUAACUCGCUGAAAGGUGAGCUAAUUCCGAAUGUGACUGUUGGGAGGCAUCUUCCGACAGUCAAAGUUGGGGACCGCAAGGCCUGGCGCUUUACGAUAAGCCCGCGGCCUAUCAGCUAGUUGGUGGGGUAAUGGCCCACCAAGGCUAAGACGGGUAGCUGGUCUGAGAGGACGACCAGUCACACUGGAACUGAGACACGGUCCAGACACCUACGGGUGGCAGCAGUCGAGAAUCUUUCACAAUGGGGGAAACCCUGAUGGAGCGACGCCGCGUGGGGGAUGAAGGGCUUCGGCUCGUAAACCCCUGUCAUUCGUGAUCAAAGUUUCUGCGUUAAUAGCGCCGGAAUUGAUAGUAGCGAAAGAGGAAGGGACGGCUAACUCUGUGCCAGCAGCCGCGGUAAUACAGAGGUCCCAAGCGUUGUUCGGAUUCACUGGGCGUAAAGGGUGCGUAGGUGGCGGUGAAAGUUCGAUGUGAAGUCUCCGAACUCAACGCGGAAGAAGCAUUGAAAACUACAGUGCUUGAGGAU
rnacentral:rRNA from 1 species